AUUGAACGCUGGCGGCAGGCCUAACGCAUGCAAGUCGAGCGGAGCGGCGGACGGGUGAGUAAUGCCUAGGACUCUGACUGGUAGUGUGGGAUAACGUCCGGAAACGGGCGCUAAUACCGCAUACUAUCAGAUUACCCUAUGUCGGAUUAGCUAGUUGGUGGGGUAAAGGCCUACCAAGGCGACGAUCCGUAACUGGUCUGAGAGGAUGAUCAGUCACACUGGAACUGAGACACGGCCCAGACUCCUACGGGAGGAAGCAGUGGGGAAUAUUGGACAAUGGGCGAAAGCCUGAUCCAGCCAUGCCGCGGGUGUGAAGAAGGUCUUCGGAUUGUAAAGCACUUUAAGUUGGGAGGCGUUACCAACAGAAUAAGCACCGGCUAACUUCGUGCCAGCAGCCGCGGUAAUUC
rnacentral:rRNA from 1 species